rnacentral:lncRNA from 1 species
AAGCAAUUCAAAGAUUCAAAAAAGAGAUAUUGAUGCUAGAAGUUCAACAUUCAAGUUGGAGUAGGAGGCCACUGAAUACCUCUUUGGAUUAUCUUGAAUUUCAAUUAGUUGGUAAGUAUAAUCGAUUUCUUCUUUUUUGUACUUGUUUCUAACUAAGUAAUUAAGAAGUGUGAAAAAUUUGAGUUCAUAUCAACAAUUCGAAUAUUUGUUGUUGAGAUUUCAAUUUGCUAUAGGGUUUGUUAAGAAUUUGUUUAAGAUUUAGAUUUUCAUUAGGAUUUGAUUUAAGAUUUGUUUAGGAUUUAGAAUUCAUUAGAAUUUCAUUAAUAUUUGACUUUGUAUUUGAUUAAGAUUCAAUUAGGAUUUUAAUUAAGAUUUGACCUAAGGUUUUAUUAAAGUUUAAUUAAGAUUUUAAUUGAUGGUAAACCUAUGAUUUGGUUUAGAUUCAAUAAGGAUUUUAUUAAGAUUUUAAUUAGGAUUUGAUUAAGAU